GGAAGUGACUGUAGGUUUAGAUGAAUGGAAAAUGAACUUGCCAGUUCACAGCUAUGUCCUUCCCAAUUUAGGAGGUUAAGGGCAGGAAAAACAUGAGAAACUCUUUUGAGAAGCUGCACAAGCUGACAUGGAGGAUCAAGGAUUUCAAAAGCUUUGAAUAUAAAGAGGUGUCAGACUUACAUCAGAGCCUGAGACUUGACAUGCCUAUUUUUGCACUCGCUCAUUUUUCAAAUUUCAUAGGCAUUGCUCCCUCCAAAUCACCGCUCUUCUAAUUUUAUCCUGGAGUGUGCAUCCCAGAAGACAUAAGCUGACACAAUUGGGAACUGAAGUUGCUUGAAAAAGCUGGUGGUAAGAUUAGGGAUCAGCAUCAUAUAUCACUAUUUCUCAAAGAUUAUCUGGUCUCUUGAUGGCAAAUCUACAAUAUUGAAACCUUUGAAAGAGAAAUUGUGUUUUGUGAGUUACAUGACUACCGUUUGCAUCCAAGGUCUCCUCUGUAGUCAAGAGAAGAAUGCAGAAACUACAUGUCCAAGAAUCUCUUUCCAGACUCUAGACAGCUUAUACGUAUUUGGACAAGGCAACGUGAUGAAGAAAUAAUAUAAUUGUAGGAUCACCUCUGUCCAGUAGCUGUUAUCCAACAUCUGCAUACUUAGAUUUCUGGAGAGGUAGGUAAACUACUGUAUUAGAAAACACUAGAAGUGCAUGAUUGUAUUUUUCAUGUCCAAAGUCUAACACAUUAAAAGAGAAAAGGAUUCGAAAAUUAUCUACUUUGAAAGUUUUAAACAAAAGUGAAUUUUCUUGGUUAAAUAUCCUAUUUAAUUGCCUUUCUAAAAAUAGCCUAAAUGUCCAUUGUUUGAUAUAUGUGGUGAGAUAUUUUUUAAAGUACUUAAUUAUAAUGUUUUAUUUGAUGAGACUAGCUAUUUGGUAUUUUUUUAAAUGGAAAGGGGGCAAACAUACUUAAUAAAAUGCAAAAAUAGUACUGGAAAAAUAUUUUAAAUGAUUGCUAAGUAUUUUAGUGAAUACCUAAUUGCAUUAAUUUGCUGAGACUGCCAUAACAAAAUAAGACACAUUAAAUGGCUUGAACAACAUAAAUUAUUUUCACACAAUUCUGGAGGCCAGAAGUUUAAGAACAUGGUGUCUGCAGGUUUGACUCCUCCUGAGGCUUUUCCACUCUGCUUGCAGUUGUGUGCUUUCUCACUGUAUCCUCACACUGUCUCCCUCUGUCUGUGUGUUCUACAAUCUAAUCUCCUCUUCUUACAAGGAUACCAGUCAUAUUAAAUUAAAUCUGCACCCUAACGACCUAAUUUAAUUUAAUUAGCUCCUUAAAUAUUUUAUCUCCAAAUACAGUUACAUUCUGAAGUACUACAGAUUAGGACUUCAACAUAUUAAUUCUGGGGGGAGGGACACAAUUCAACUCAUAGCACUUGUGUUGUUCAUCUCAUAGAAAUAUAACUUUCUAUGGGUCUUUCACAACAAUGAAUGUUAGAUGAAUGCUAUGGUUUGAAUGUGUUCCUUCCAAAAUUCAGGUGUUGCCAAUGUGAUGAUUUGCUUUGUUUUGUUUUGUUCCUUUGAGACAGAGUCUUUCUCUGUCACCCAGGUUGGAGUGCAGUGGCACCAUCUCGGUUCACUGCAACCUCCACCUUUGAGGUUCAAGCAAUUCUCCUGCCUCAGCCUCCUGAGUAGCUGGGACUACAUGCGCGUGCCACCAAACCCAGCUAAUUUUUGUAGUUUUUAGUAGAGUUGGGGUUCACCAUAUUGGACAGACUGGUCUUCAACUCAUGACCUCAAGUAAUCUGCCUGACUUCGCUUCCCAAAGUGUUGGGAUUACAGACAUAAGCCACCAUGCCUGGUCCAAUACAAUGAUAUUAAGAGGUUGAUGCUUGUAUACAUGUGUAACUAGCCUGCACAUUGUGGACAUGUACCCUAAAACUUAAAGUAUAAUAAUAAUAAAAUAAAUAAAUAAAUAAAUAAAUAAAAAUAAAAUAAAUAAAAAAUAAAGAGGUGAUGCUUUAAAGAGGUGAUUAGGUCAUGAGGACUUCUUCCCUCAUUAGUUGGACUAAGGUCCUUAUACAAGAGGCUUCACACACCAUUUGGUUCUAGCUGUGCUUCUGCCUCCCACCAUGUGAGGACACAGCAUUUCCCCCUCUGGAGGAUUUAGCAACAAGCAACCAUCUUGGAAGCAGAGAGCAACCAUUUCCUAGACAACCAAACCUGCUAGAGCCUGGAUCCUGAACUUCUCAGCCUUCAAAAUUAUGAGAAAUACUUUUCUGAUUAUUAUUAGCUACCCAGUUUCAAGUAUUUUGUUAUAGAAGCACAAAAUGGACCAAGAUGAUGAAUUUCUGAGACUGCUGACACCAUCAUAGGAGCAACAUGUUUAUUGUGUAAUCUCUUGAGACUUAUCUCAAGUUAGAAAGAAGGAGGAAUAGAUUCUACUGCCCACAGACAAAGAUUCUUUGAACUUUGGAUUUUGAUGGAUCUAAGCACAAUAUUUAAUUGUGAGUACAUGUUAUUAAACUGAAGAACAAAAGAAAGUUAUAUGUAUUUAUAGAUGUUUGUGGAGAAAGAUGAAAAAAUAUUGACAAUACUCGACCUGUACAAUGCAGAGUUGAUGAAAUUCAGAAAGUAUGAUUGCAGGAAAACAAAGCUAGUUGGCUUCCAACUGGUAAAAGUUCACACUAUGAAGAAUUAACUCCCUCACACUUCCUGUCUGUAUAGCCCUAUGCCUUCACAAGAACAAGUUCCCACACCAGGGUCAAGAAGGAAACCGUAAGUCAAGACAAAAGUGCCCAGUGAAGGCAGAAGAUGAGGGGUCUCAGGUUGCAUCUUCGGAGGCACGAGGAUUCAAAGGUGAACAAAGCACACAGUACAUCAUUUGAUGUGGUAAGUUUCAUGGACAUAGAAGUAAGGGGGAUGAAAUGUCGAGGUGUGUGUGGCGGGGGAGGAGGGGAAUUCAAAUGAUAUUCUGAUCAUUAAAUAAACUUGAAACAAACUUGGAAAGGUGAAGUAAAACAGCAGCCAUUUUCCUGACACUCAAGGAUUGCUUCUGCAGGUGGAGAAAACGACAGCUUCAGAUAUUCUAUGAUGUACAGAUGCCAUUUAUCAAAUUCUUUGAUUUCAAGUAAUAAUGGUGUUGGUGCAGCCAGAGUUGCAAAAGAGGACUGUUGAUUCCAACACAGUCUCAAAGAUGGUUGAAUUAUGUGCUUCUACUAAUGUGUCUGUUAUUCUGGAGCCCAUAUUUGGAAACCCAGUCUAAAAAAUGCAUCUUAAUCCCUAUCUAUGAUUUUGAAACCAUUUAAUUAUUUACUUCUCCAUAUGUCUGAAGGCAGUACUACACAUUGGAAGUUUGAGGAAAUAGGAUACUUAAAUAUUUAUUUAAGAUAAUUGAAGAGUAAUUAGUCCAGGGAAAGAUUAUAGGAUUCCCUAGAGGUAUAGGGCCUACUGGAGGUGAUCAAAUUAAAAUGAAGUCAUUCAUAAUGAUUUUUUUUCACUAGUCCUCUCAUGCCUGCAUGAUGAGAAGAUAUGAACAAGUAAAUAAUUGGACUUAACCUGUGCUUUUCCUACUUGCAUAAAAUGAGGAUGUUAAUGGGAAUUGUGGAUAUGUGAAAGAUGAAGAUUAUGAUGAUAGGCCACAGAAUUUAAGUUUAGUAAAAUGGAAAGUGAGAGCAUUUGGUGGUUAGAGAGUAAAAAGGUAGUAGAAACCAUGGUUUGGACAAGGCAAUUAAAUAGGAGUGAAGUAGAGCAAAUAAAAGGAAACACUAUUAAGGCAGAAGGUUGAUACUAUAGAAUUCUGAGAUAAUAAUCAACUAUUGUUUGGAAAUAAAAUUUGUUUAUAUUUAUACUUGCUUAUUUUACCAUCUCAUUUUUUGGUUAAAGUUACAAGAAGUAGAGUUAUGUCCUAGUUUUCUGUAACCAGUGACAAUAGUAAAAACAAGAAUUAAUUGACCACAUACUAUUUUUGAGACUAUUUUAUGUGAUUUUAUUGAUUAAAUAAUUGAUAUUUCAAACAACUCUGUGAAAAAGGAAAUAUCACUAAGCCUAUUACAUAGACAAAAAAGAAGAGCAGAGAAGCAAAGCAUCACAGGGCUGGUAAAUUGCAGAGCUGAGAUUAGAACGAAGUAGUUUGACUUUAGAGCCUGCGUGCUUACCUGGACUUUUUCACUUUCUUGACCAGAAUUUAGAUCUGAUUUCUAGCUAUCUUUCUUUUUUCCCACAUAGCCAUUUUAUCUGACUGAAAGAUUAUAGAAAUAUGUGCACAACUGGACUGAAUACUUGAUUGUAUAGUUAACUCAUAGUGAUGCCAGCCUCUAAAAUGGCUUACAUGAUGAAAUGAAGAAGUAUCUCUGCUAUAAAGGCUUUGGAGUAAUGUAUUUGUGACCAUAUUUGUUCAUGUUUGUAACAACAUCAGACUAAAAUGGAGAGUUCUGAUCGGCUGCACAAUAACCACUGUGCAAACAUUCAGCACAGUCAUCAAAAUAUCAAAAACAGAAAAAAAAAAAUCCAGGUAAUGUAAGGCUAUAAUCAUUUCAGAAUAUUUAUUAAAUUUAAAUUCAUUGUAAAUAAUUCUGAAUCUCAUACCUCAUUAUCACAGACUUAAUCUAGAUAAUAAAUAUAAAAAUUACAUUAAAAAUUCUGUAAACUAUAAAAAAAUUAAAAAGGAUUUGAUACAGACUUGAGUUUUGGUUUGUUUAUAAUCUUGACUGUUGCUAUAUUGACCCUUAAUUUCAACAGUCACUGAAAAUCAUAAGGUAAAAUUACUUCCCAGUUUUUUUUUAAGUUUCUUAAUUAGAAUUUGCUUUCUGAGAACACUCAAAACAGCUUUAUGUGCCAUGCAAAGUAAUUAGGGGAAUUCUUAUUACUCUUGCAACUAGGAGAUGGAAGCAUCAAAAAAUUAAUUGAAUAAUAAAUAUCACCAUAGGGAAACAACAUUAUUUGAAUAUCACCAUCCUUCUGGCUUGAAUCCCAGAAUGAAGGAAACUGAUGGAUUUUCAGAAAGGUAGGAAACAAUGUACAGGUUUUGUUUUCAAUAAUUUUUUAUUCAAUUCUGUACAUGAAGCAAAUAUUUUACUUCUAAAAUAUCGGUCAUCGUUUUUCCAUUAUCUGAAAUUCUAUAGGAAACUCCAAGAAUGCAAAAGUGGUCAUAUGUGUGUUUGUGUUUGUGUGUGUUUGUCCAUAUAUUCAUUUUCUCAAAUGUACUAUAUAAGAGCCUCAUUAAUACUGAAGACUGCAAAAUAAAUCAUAAAAAUAUUUCAGCACUGGUUCCAAUUCAGGCAGAAUAAGUGGAACAUACAUCUGCUGCAUGUUUUAUUUUAUUAUUUAAAAUAUCCAACAAUAAAAUGGAAGAUGAAAUGGUUUGCUCAUUUAAUUUCCAGAUAUCACCUCAUUUUGAAGAGAUAAAUGUGGUAUCACCUGGAGAUUGUUACAAAAUAUUUCAAAUGGAAAGGCAAGUGUAAAACCCAGAAUAACAUUGUGAAGCCAAUAUUGAUCAAUAGGUGGAGCAUAUUACCGGAAACAGGAAAUUGUUACGUUGAAUGAUUUCUCCAUUUAGGUGCUACAGGGGCAUGAGAGGCCAUUGGAAUUCUACCUUAUGGGUCUCUUCCCCACUGCUAACUAUGUAAACUUGUGUUCUUGCACCUCUGAGGUGUGAUCUGAUAUCAUUUCUACAAUCCUCCAUGUAUUAGUCUGUGUUCACACUGCUUUAAAUACCCGGGACUUGGUAAUUUAUAAAGGAAAGAGGUUUAAUUAAGUCACCAUUUGGCAUGACUGAGGAAGCCUCAGGAAACUUACAAUUAUGGUGGAACAGGAAGCAGACACUUUCUUCACAAGUUGGCGAGAAAAAGAAUAGCAAAGGAGAAACUUUCAAACACAUAAAAACCCAUCAGAUCUGAUGAGAACUCACUCAUUUUCACAAGAACCGCAUGGGGGAAGCUGCCCCCAUAAUCCAUUACCACCUCCCUUCCACAACACCUGGGAAUUGCAGGUCCCUCCCUUGAUACAUGGGGAUUAAAUUCAAGAUGAGAUUUGGGUUGGAACACAGAGCCAAACCAUAUCAUUCUGCCCCUUGCCCCUAGCAAAUCUCAUGUCUUUUCACAUUUCAAAACCAAUCAUCCCUUCCCAACAGUCCCCCAGUCUUAACUCAUUCCAGCAUUAACUCAAAAGUCCACAGUCUGAAGUCUCAUCUGAGACAAGGCAAGUGCCUUCCACCUAUGAGCCUGUAAAAUCAAAAUCAAGUUAGUAACUUUUAUACCAUGGGGAUUUAGGCAUUGCAUAAAUGCUCCCAUUCCAAAUGGGAGAAAUAGGCCAAAACAAAGGGGCUACAGACCCCAUGCAAGUCCAAAAUCCAGUGGGACAGUCAUUAAAUCUUAAAGCUCCAAAAUGAUCUCCUUUGACUCCAUAUCUCACAUCCAUGGAACGAGAGUGAGCAAUGUAUUAAAGAAACAGGUUUAAUUGACUCACAGUUCAUCAUGGCUGGGGAGGCCACAGGAAACUUACAAUUAUGGUGGAAGGGGAAGCAGGCAACUUCUUCACAACUGGGCAGGAAAGAGAAGACUGGAGGAGAAACUUCCAAACACUUAUAAAUUCAUUAGAUCUCAUGAUAACUCACUCACUAUCAUGAGAACACCAUGGAGAAAACCAUCCCCAGGAUCCAAUCACCUCCCUCCCUUGAUACUUGGAGAUUACAGGUCUCUCCCUUGACAUGUGGGAAAUACAAUUCCAGAUAAAACUCGAGUGGGGACACAGAAUCAAACCAUGUCACUCUACCACCACAAUUACUCUGUUAUUCGCCAACAGGAAAUAUUUUACUUCUUCAAAAAAGGCACUUUCACCUGUUUUCUUUAUUGCUAUGUGAUGUUCAUUCAAUCUCACUUACCCAGUGCAGUUUCCCCAGGCCCAGAGAUUUCUGGUUAACACCUAUUCUUGGCAUCUUAGUUGGUUAUCAAUUUUUUCCAGAAUAUAUUUAUUGACCACUACCCCACUCCAUUCAUUUUGAUUAAAUGUGUUAAACAUAACCCAUGAAACCAGCACUUUCAUGUCAAUCUAUAGUUUUCAUAAUCUUAGAAUUCUUCAGAUUUUAUUGAACUUAGUUUUGUUCAUUUAACCCUCAAACUUGUAAGCUUGGUGGAAUUUUGGUUUGGGGUUCUUUAUAUCUCUAGUACUUAGCACUAAGCAUGGCAUAAGUUCUCAAGAAACAUUGA
rnacentral:lncRNA from 1 species